rnacentral:rRNA from 1 species
GACGAACGCUGGCGGCGUGCCUAAUACAUGCAAGUCGAACGAGAGCGACCGGUGCUUGCACUGGUCAAUCUAGUGGCGAACGGGUGAGUAACACGUGGGUAACCUGCCCAUCAGAGGGGGAUAACAUCCGGAAACGGAUGCUAAAACCGCAUAGGUCUUCGAGCCGCAUGGCUUGAAGAGGAAAAGAGGCGCAAGCUUCUGCUGAUGGAUGGACCCGCGGUGCAUUAGCUAGUUGGUGAGGUAACGGCUCACCAAGGCCGUGAUGCAUAGCCGACCUGAGAGGGUGAUCGGCCACAUUGGGACUGAGACACGGCCCAAACUCCUACGGGAGGCAGCAGUAGGGAAUCUUCCGCAAUGGACGCAAGUCUGACGGAGCAACGCCGCGUGAGUGAAGAAGGUUUUCGGAUCGUAAAACUCUGUUGUUAGAGAAGAACAAGUGCUAGAGUAACUGUUAGCGCCUUGACGGUAUCAAACCAGAAAGCCACGGCUAACUACGUG